rnacentral:rRNA from 1 species
GACGAACGCUGGCGGCGUGCUUAACACAUGCAAGUCGAACGGAUCAGGGGAGCUUGCUUCUCUGGUUAGUGGCGAACGGGUGAGUAACACGUGAGUAACCUGCCCUUCACUCUGGGAUAACUCCGGGAAACCGGGGCUAAUACUGGAUACGACCUGAACAGGCAUCUGUAUUGGGUGGAAAGAUUUAUUGGUGGAGGAUGGACUCGCGGCCUAUCAGCUUGUUGGUGAGGUAAUGGCUCACCAGGGCGACGACGGGUAGCCGGCCUGAGAGGGCGAUCGGCCACACUGGGACUGAGACACGGCCCAGACUCCUACGGGAGGCAGCAGUGGGGGAAUAUUGCACAAUGGGCGAAAGCCUGAUGCAGCGACGCCGCGUGA